GCUGGGUUGUGCCCCAGCCCAACUUUAGAAGCUGGAGAAGAGGAGUUUUAGCAUAGAUAGUGUAGUAAGAGGGAUUGGAAACGGGAUCACGUGGGCUUAUCAAUGCAAUGUAAUGAACUUGGGGCCUUGCGAACAAUCCAGGCUGCGCAUAACGCAGCUAUAAGCGCUAAAUCACGCCCGUCCAGAGAUACAAAGACAAGGUUUUCUCCGGUUCUAGGACAAAGGGUUGGAGAAUGAAUACCUGGACGACUGGGAUACUGGGAAAAAUCUGUUUCUAGCCGUAAGGAGCUUAAGAUGCUGUAGUGAUGCCAUAAGGACUGAAGUUCAGUCAGUUAAAUCAUUCAUUGACAUGGUAGGGGACCUGUUCAUCCUCCCUGACGCAAGUGCCUUUCUGAGUGAGCGAAUCGGCUAGAACCCUCUCGAAGUGUUUAACUACAUUUCUAUUUGAUGCACAUAAUUAUUUUUUUACGUGUGAUCAAACAACCAUAAUUAUAACUAUGAAUCGAAUCAACUAUAAUACUAAGAGUAUAAGAGUGUGAAUACACAAUACGCUAAAGUGAUCAAGCUAUUAAAUUGUA